AGUCUGCGGCUUAUUUGACUCAACACUGGGAAACUCAUCAGGGCAAGAAGAUUUUAGGAUUGACAGAUUGAGAGUUCUUUCUUGAUUGGUCUAGUGGUGGUGCAUGGCCGUUCUUAGUUGGUGGAGUGAUUUGUCUGGUUAAUUCCGUUAACGAACGAGACCUUAACCUGCUAACUAGUACUUCGAUGACAAAUCGAUGUUACUUCUUAGAGGGACUAUGUGAUGUAAUCACAUGGAAGUUUGAGGCAAUAACAGGUCUGUGAUGCCCUUAGAUGUCCUGAGCUGCACGCGUACUACAAUGGUGCUUUCAACGAGCUUUUCCUGAUCCGAAAGGAUUUGGGUAAUCUUUUUAGUGAGCACCGUGCUUGGGAUAGAUCUUUGUAAUUAUGGAUCUUGAACUAGGAAUUCCUAGUAAGCGCUGGUCAUCAGCCAGUGCUGAUUACGUCCCUGCAAAAUGUACACACCGCCCGUCGCUAUUACCGAUUGAGUGCUAAGGUGAACCUUCUCGAUAGUGCAAACUAAAAAUUAAGUAAACCUUAGUACUUAGAGGAAAUAAAAGUCGUAACAAGGUUUCCGUAGGUG
rnacentral:rRNA from 1 species